UCAUAGCCCUGAUGGAAACGGCAUCCUUUUGUGGCGGUCCCGAAACUUCGGGACGUCACAAAAGAUAUAGUGUACAGCAGGAAACAGC
rnacentral:sRNA from 1 species